rnacentral:rRNA from 1 species
GAUGAACGCUAGCGGCAGGCUUAACACAUGCAAGUCGAGGGGCAGCAUGAGACGGAGAUUCGUCGAAGUCUUGAUGGCGACCGGCGCAAGGGUGCGUAACGCGUGAGCAACUUGCCCGUUUCAGGGGCAUAACCGGUGGAAACGCCGACUAAUUCCCCAUAGUAUCAUCGAGAGGCAUCUUUUGAUGAUUAAAGAAUUUCGGAAACGGAUAGGCUCGCGUGACAUUAGCUAGAUGGCGGGGUAACGGCCCACCAUGGCGACGAUGUCUAGGGGUUCUGAGAGGAAGGUCCCCCACACUGGAACUGAGACACGGUCCAGACUCCUACGGGAGGCAGCAGUGAGGAAUAUUGGUCAAUGGUCUGACGACUGAACCAGCCAUGCCGCGUGAAGGUCACGGCCCUAUGGGUCUUAAACUUCUUUUGCAAGGGAGCAAUAAGGUCUACGUGUAGAUCGAUGAGAGUACCUUGCGAAUAAGCAUCGGCUAACU